GAGAGAGAGAGCGAUCUCGUCCAGAAGCUUCACCCGUCGACUUCCAAUCUCUAGUCUCGCCGUCGUUCGUUCUCGUCACUGUCGCCGGAAAGAAGAUUAUUUACGACUUUAAAAACCACGUACGAUGCCGAAGAGGAACCAAUCAUCUUCUUUGCUAAUUGAUCAAAGCAUGAAGUCUAAGAAGCAAAAAGUUGAAGAUAGUAGUCUGACAAAUCACAUUAAUGGAGGAUUAUGUGAAAACAAUGUUAAUGAUUUUUGGCAAAUAGUUCCAAGUGGAUUCACAUUUUGCCCUAUAGAUCAAGAGCUGAUCAUGGCCUAUUUGAGGGAGAAAGUGAUGAAUGAGCCAUUCGAACCAAUAAUUAUUGAAGUUGAAGUCUUUAAGUUCAAUUCUAAAGAAUUAUCCAGACAAUAUAGGAGCUGGGGGUCUAGAGAAAAUGUGUGGUACUUUUUCUCACCAAUAUGUCAAAAUGGAUCAAUACAAGAUGGCUAUUGGAAGCCGACAGAAAAAAUGUCGGUCCAUUCAUUUUGAUGAUGAAAGAACAUUAAUUGGAAAAGGUAGAACUUUGAUUUAUUAUAAAGGAAUCAUCAAAAGAGCAAGAAGACUUUUGGAUCAUGCAUGAGUAUUAUUUGGAUCUGACAACACAUGCAAGAGCGAGUUCCUUAGAUACAAAGAUCAAUCACAGCCUCAAAGAAACAAUAUGGAUCCGAUUCAAUUCAACAAUCCUCAUUCAUCAGAAAUCUCUCAAGCUUCUGCUAGUCCUUCAUCUUUCAAUGAAAUCAACAAUGGAACGUCAAGUUCAGAUGAUGCUUGAAUGUACAUAGAUCCUUCACAAUUUGGACACAGAAAACGGUGAUUUUAUGAUCAUCCCAAGCAUGCUUCCAGAAUUAAUGGAGCCUGAUAUCGAUAUUGGAGGAACCAGGCCAUCUCAUCAUCUUCUAUAACGCGAAGGACGUGAUUAAUUUUCAAUUUGUAGUAUGAAUACUGAAAAAAUCUGAUAUGUUUCGUUGUUAAGAAUAUUAGUCAUAAAAUAUCUUAAACUUCUUUAGCAUGU